CAUAUCAAUAAGCGGAGGAAAAGAAACCAACAGGGAUUGCCUCAGUAACGGCGAGUGAAGCGGCAAAAGCUCAGAUUUGAAAUCUGGCGUCUUCGACGUCCGAGUUGUAAUCUGUAGAGGAUGACUUUGGGUAGCCACCGGUCUAAGUCCCCUGGAACGGGGUGUCACAGAGGGUGAGAAUCCCGUAUGUGACCGGAAGGGCGCCCUAUACAUGUCUCCUUCGACGAGUCGAGUUGUUUGGGAAUGCAGCUCUAAAUGGGAGGUAAAUUCCUUCUAAAGCUAAAUACCGGCCAGAGACCGAUAGCGCACAAGUAGAGUGAUCGAAAGAUGAAAAGCACUUUGGAAAGAGAGUUAAAAAGCACGUGAAAUUGUUGAAAGGGAAGCGCUUGCAACCAGACUUGUUGGCGGUGUUCCGCCGGUCUUCUGACCGGUCUACUCACCGUCUGCAGGCCAGCAUCAUCUGGGGCCGCUGGAUAAAAGCGGAGGGAAUGUGGCUCCUCCGGGAGUGUUAUAGCCCUCCGUGCAAUACAGCGAGCCCCGGGUGAGGUCCGCGCUUCGGCUAGGAUGCUGGCGUAAUGGUCGUAAGCGGCCCGUCUUGAAACACGGACCAAGGAGUCUAAC
rnacentral:rRNA from 1 species